UAAGCAAUAUUGGCAAAUGGGAGAAAGUCUGACCCAGCCAUGCCGGGUGGAGGAAGAAGGUCCUAUGUAUUGUAAACUUGAAAGAUACGGGAAGAAAAAAGGGAAUUCUUGGAAAUCUGACGGUACCAGAUGAAUAAGCACCGGCUAACUGCGUGCCAGCAGGCUCGGUAAUACGGAGGGUGCAAGCGUUGUCCGGAUUUAGUGGGUUUAAAGGGCGGGUAGGUUGGUAAGUAAGUCGGUGGAGAAAUCCCCGAGCUUAACUAGGGAACUGCCAUAGAUCAUAUUGACCUUGAGUUUUAGGGAGGUUGGCGGAAUAUGUCAUGUAGCGGUGAAAUGGUUAGAUAUGGCAAAGAACACCGAUAGGGAAGGCAGCUGGCUACAGAAACACUGACACUGAGGCAAGAAAGGGGGGGGAUCAAACAGGAUUAGAUACCUUGGUAGUCCACGCCAUAAACGAUGAUUACUCGACAUGCGGGAAACCCUGUGAGUGUCUCAGC
rnacentral:rRNA from 1 species